rnacentral:rRNA from 1 species
GACGAACGCUGGCGGCGUGCUUAACACAUGCAAGUCGAGCGGUAAGGCCCUUUCGGGGGUACACGAGCGGCGAACGGGUGAGUAACACGUGGGUGACCUGCCCUCAGCUCUGGGAUAAGCCUGGGAAACCGGGUCUAAUACUGGAUAUGACUCCAUGACGCAUGUUGUGGGGUGGAAAGCCUUGUGCGGCUGAGGAUGGGCCCGCGGCCUAUCAGCUUGUUGGUGGGGUGANGGGCCUACCAAGGCGACGACGGGUAGCCGGCCUGAGAGGGCGACCGGCCACACUGGGACUGAGACACGGCCCAGACUCCUACGGGAGGCAGCAGUGGGGAAUCUUGCGCAAUGGGCGAAAGCCUGACGCAGCGACGCCGCGUGAGGGAUGACGGCCUCGGUU